rnacentral:lncRNA from 1 species
UUAGAAUCAGGGAUACAUGUGCAGGCUUAUUACAAAGGUAUAUUGUGUGAUGCUGAAGUUUGGAUUAUGAAUGAGUCCAUCACUGAAGUAGUGAGUAUAGUCCCCAGUCUUUGAUGGAUUGGAUGAAGCCCUUCCACAUUGAGAGGACAGCCUGCUUUACUCAGCCUACUGAUUCAAAUGUUAACCUCACCCAGAAACACUCUCACAGACACAUCCAGAAUAGUGUUUGGCCGGAUGUUGGAGUACCUUGUGGCUCAGUCGAGCUAACAUGUAAAAUUAACCAUCAUAACCCCCCAAAUUUCCAUAUAUCCUUUAUCAGUCAGCCUUCCCACUUCCACUUUGUUAUCUUCUCAAUACUUCCACACCAGGAAAGUACUGAUUUUCUUUCUACUACUGCAGAUAAGAUUUUUCCCCCCU